AUCAAUGGAAGCAACUGCAGGCUGACAAUUCCUGUCUUGGAGUUGUGUUAUCUGUGUUGUCUGUGUUGGAUUUCUUCUUUGCCCUUGUGUAUCUGAUGUAGUUUGAAGAAUGAGGUUAUAGACUGUCAAAUCCUUAAAUACCCUGCUGAUAGUUAUACUGUGCCUGCUCCGUAAGAUGUCCUUAAUUUGAGCUAGGCAGUCUGGCAUUUCAAGGGAAUGGAAGGAAUGCUAGAACAAUAAUAUGUUCUUCCUGCCUUUUCCAAGGCCAGAUGGGAAGAUUUUGUUGAUUAACGACUGCAUCAUGUGGGGCGGGAUUUGGUGGUAAACACCGAUCCAGCCCCGGUCACCCAUGAAGCCAGCCGGCUCCGAUCACACAACAUCAAGCUGGCUCCGUGGAUGAAGGAGGGCGGAACUGGCAUACCACCACCACUCUGGCAACACAGGAGGCUUCCCAUGUUGCCAUUCCUUCAAUGGAGGAAGAUCUGCUGGAGGAGCGCAGCAAAGUGGGGCAUGUAGCAUUGACUUCCCAAUAUCCGGCAGCAAACCGAAGUGCCACCAAGAGCCACUGCCUAAGGUUUAUAGCCAAGCCAUGUGCUUUAGGCCUAAAGGUUCAGGCCAAUGGACAACAAAAGGCACAGCCUAAUGCUAUUCAUGAAAAAGUCUUCACUGCGAUUACAAAGGUAGAGUAUGUGCAAUACCUUUACAUUAUUUUGGAAGAAUGAAAAG
rnacentral:lncRNA from 11 species